GCUUAUCCUGUAUCUCCAAUGUCGGCGGGGCCCAGUUCGGCAUACCCGCCGCCACAGUAUGCGACGGGGGCGAGUAACGGGUCUUAUCCACCGCCGGCGGGUGGUUAUCCACAAAUCGCCUACCCACCAGGAGGAUACCCGCAUGCUGCUCCGCCCGCGGCGGGUUAUGGGUACCCACUACAGCAACCGUACGGUGGCUACCCACCACCGCCACAGGGUUAUGGGUACCCGACGCCCCAACAGGGAUAUGGGUAUCCACCGGUUCAACAACCGCCAAAGAAGAAUAAGUUUG
rnacentral:lncRNA from 1 species